GAAUUCAAGAGGCACAUUUAACAAAUGAUUCAAACUAUCAAUCGUACUCCAAUUUACUCAGAAAUAUAUCAUUGGAAAGAUAUUUCAAUCUAUUUUUCAGAUAAAACAAGUCUCGUAUGAAUCAAAGUUUCCAACAAAGAGUUACAAUUGAUUUAGUAACCAAAGGUCAGAAAACAAAAUCAUUGUUUUGCAUAAUCCAAAGGGUCGGAUUC
rnacentral:lncRNA from 1 species